rnacentral:rRNA from 1 species
CCUACGGGUGGCUGCAGUGGGGAAUAUUGGACAAUGGGCGAAAGCCUGAUCCAGCCAUGCCGCGUGUGUGAAGAAGGCCUUCGGGUUGUAAAGCACUUUCAGUGGGGAAGAAAGCCUUGGGGCUAAUACCCUCGAGGAAGGACAUCACCCACAGAAGAAGCACCGGCUAACUCCGUGCCAGCAGCCGCGGUAAUACGGAGGGUGCGAGCGUUAAUCGGAAUUACUGGGCGUAAAGCGCGCGUAGGCGGUCUGAUAAGCCGGUUGUGAAAGCCCCGGGCUCAACCUGGGAACGGCAUCCGGAACUGUCAGGCUAGAGUGCAGGAGAGGAAGGUAGAAUUCCCGGUGUAGCGGUGAAAUGCGUAGACAUCGGGAGGAAAACCAGUGGCGAAGGCGGCCUUCUGGACUGACACUGACGCUGAGGUGCGAAAGCGUGGGUAGCAAACAGGAUUAGAUACCCGGGUAGUC